UGAAUCGGCAGAAAUACAAGAAGAGGGCAACGCAGGACCGGGGGAACCCGGAGAAUGCGAGUCAACAAGCUUUUUGGAGCAAGGGCGAAGAGUAAGCGUUCAAGUGACUAAAGGGCAGACGGGGAAUGCCUAGGCAGCAGAAGGCGAAGAAGGACGUGGCGAGCUGCGAAAAGCUUCGGGGAGCCGCUCACAGGCGUUGAUCCGGAGGAAUCCGAAUGGGGGGAACCCCACUGGGGGAAUGCCCAGUGAGCCUUGCCUGAAUUCAUAGGGCAAGG
rnacentral:rRNA from 1 species